UACGGGGGGGGCAAGCGUUGUUCGGAAUUACUGGGCGUAAAGGGCUCGUAGGUGGCCAACUAAGUCAGACGUGAAAUCCCUCGGCUUAACCGGGGAACUGCGUCUGAUACUGGAUGGCUUGAGAUUGGGAGAGGGAUGCGGAAUUCCAGGUGUAGCGGUGAAAUGCGUAGGUAUCUGGAGGAACACCGGUGGCGAAGGCGGCAUCCUGGACCAACACUGACACUGAGGAGCGAAAGCCAGGGGAGCAAACGGG
rnacentral:rRNA from 1 species